AGGUAGAUUAGGAAGACAUUACCAAGAGCCUUAUGUCCCCUUGCUGUGACUGUGGCUUUAACUACAGAUUGUGAAGUCACACUGGGCACUUAAAUAGAAGAAGGGAUCAUACUCAAAGUUCCUCUGAUUAAUAUUGCCCUAGUUGUUCUCUCAGAUCAACUGAAUAUACAGUUUCCUGUCUUUCUGCAUUCUAUAGAAUACUUGAUCACUAUAGAACCCAUCUCUGAUGACAUAGAAACAGACUUGAGCACUGUGCUCCAAUUACAAGGUUUCUAUAACAAGAAUAUCAUAGACUACAUGGCUUGAACAAAAAUUGUUUAUUUAUCACAGUUCUGGAGUUUGGGAAGUGUGAAACUGAGGUGCCUGCAUAGUCAGAUUCUGGAAAGCUAUGUGGAAUGAAUUUGGUGGCAUGUAGACCCAGUUACAAUACUUAACUGUCACAUCACAGCUCCCCAGCCCCCACCACCUUCCACCCAGCCAUGAGGUCACCAACCUGCAACAGCAUGUGUGACAGACCACAGAACCUGGAAUGAAACCCUGGGGCUUGAGUCCUGCUUCUACAACUGAUAACAAUAUAAACUUACACAUUUGAAACCAUGGAACAUUAAUUUUCGCAUUUGUAACAGAGCUAUGAUAUCUGCCUUACAAAGCCCUGUGAAUUUAAAUGAUAAAAUAUAUGUGAGAACAUUUUUCAAACCAUAAAACAAUACAUAAAUAUUCUUUAAAAUAGUGAAACUGCAUUGUAACAAGGACCUCACAAUACUUUAGUAAUUAGAUUUAUCUUCUUGAUAAUACUUGAGAUGGAACUUCUUCAUAUUCAGUUCUUCUCUUUUAAAAAUGACAGUUUUAAGUCAUCUGUGCUUUGAAAAGCCUGCAGAGAAGAAACAGAGGAAGAAGCAAGUAUGGAGGAAAGGAGGGAAGACUUAAAUUCAUUCCAAAGAAGAAAGAAUUUUUUGUUCUGACCAAAAAAAAACAUUGGGCUACUUUAAUCCCCUUGUAUCAAAUAUGAAUUCAAGAAACACUGGUAGAUUUUUUAGCAGUGUCUGAGGUAGAAUAAGCAUAAAAAACAAUUUUUUCAAUAGAUGUAAUCAACUUCAGAUGAUAAUAAUUUGACUAACAAGAUCCCUCUGUGCAUGGCAUGAAUUAUCCUGAGGUUACCAUAAUGGUAUAAGGAGAAACUUCAGAAUUAAA